rfam:Felis catus isolate Cinnamon breed Abyssinian chromosome X, whole genome shotgun sequence.
GCCUGGAUGGCUCAGUUGAUUGGGCGUCUGACUUCGGCUCAGGUCAUGAUCACACACUCUGUGAGUUCGAGUCCCACGUCAGGCU